rnacentral:rRNA from 1 species
UACGAAGGGGGCUAGCGUUGCUCGGAAUCACUGGGCGUAAAGGGUGCGUAGGCGGGUUUUUAAGUCAGAGGUGAAAUCCUGGAGCUCAACUCCAGAACUGCCUUUGAUACUGGGAAUCUUGAGUAUGGAAGAGGUGAGUGGAACUGCGAGUGUAGAGGUGAAAUUCGUAGAUAUUCGCAAGAACACCAGUGGCGAAGGCGGCUCACUGGUCCAUAACUGACGCUGAGGCACGAAAGCGUGGGGGAGCGAACAGG